GAUGAACGCUAGCGAUAGGCUUAACACAUGCAAGUCGAGGGGCAGCAUGGUCUUAGCUUGCUAAGACUGAUGGCGACCGGCGCACGGGUGCGUAACGCGUAUGCAACUUGCCUCACAGAGGGGGAUAACCCGUCGAAAGACGGACUAAUACCGCGUACACUUGGGAUAGGGCAUCCUGACCCAAGGAAAUGAAAUUCGCUGUGAGAAAGGCAUGCGUCCCAUUAGCUAGUUGGUGAGGUAACGGCUCACCAAGGCGACGAUGGGUAGGGGAACUGAGAGGUUGAACCCCCACACUGGUACUGAGACACGGACCAGACUCCUACGGGAGGCAGCAGUGAGGAAUAUUGGUCAAUGGGCGAGAGCCUGAACCAGCCAAGUCGCGUGAAGGAUGACUGUCUUAUGGAUUGUAAACUUCUUUUAUACGGGAAUAACAAGAGUCACGUGUGGCUCCCUGCAUGUACCGUAUGAAUAAGCAUCGGCUAACUCCGUG
rnacentral:rRNA from 1 species